UUACUACUCCCUUCGUCUCAAAAUUCUUGUCUUAGAUUUGUCCAGACAUGGAUGUAUCUAAAACUAAAACGUAACUAGAUACAUCCGCAUUUAGACAAAUUUAAGACAAGAAUUUUGGGAGGGAGGGAGUACUCU
rfam:Triticum aestivum genome assembly, contig: Triticum_aestivum_CS42_TGACv1_scaffold_320432_4BL